UACAGAGGGUGCGAGCGUCGUCCGGAAUCACUGGGCGUAAAGGGCGCGUAGGCGGUCUGCUAAGCGUGCGGUGAAAGCCCGGGGCUCAACCCCGGGUCGGCCGUGCGAACUGGUGGACUGGAGCUUGUCAGAGGUAGGCGGAAUUCCGGGUGUAGCGGUGGAAUGCGUAGAGAUCCGGAAGAACACCGGUGGCGAAGGCGGCCUGCUGGGACAGUGCUGACGCUGAAGCGCGACAGCGUGGGGAGCAAACAGG
rnacentral:rRNA from 1 species